UAUUGGACAAUGGGCGAAAGCCUGAUCCAGCAAUACCGCGUGUGUGAAGAAGGCCUUAGGGUUGUAAAGCACUUUCAAUUGGGAGGAAAACCUGCCGGUCAAUACCCGGUAGCUUGACAUUACCUUUAGAAGAAGCACCGGCUAACUCCGUGCCAGCAGCCGCGGUAAUACGGAGGGUGCGAGCGUUAAUCGGAAUUACUGGGCGUAAAGCGUGCGUAGGCGGUUCGUUAAGUCAGAUGUGAAAGCCCUGGGCUCAACCUGGGAACUGCAUUUGAAACUGGCGAACUAGAGUUUAGUAGAGGGGAGUGGAAUUUCAGGUGUAGCGGUGAAAUGCGUAGAUAUCUGAAGGAACACCAGUGGCGAAGGCGACUCCCUGGACUAGAACUGACGCUGAGGUACGAAA
rnacentral:rRNA from 1 species